rnacentral:rRNA from 1 species
UACAGAGACUGCAAGCGUUAUGCGGAUUCACUGGGCGUAAAGGGUGCGCAGGCGGGUGGGUGGGUCAGGUGUGAAAGCCCGGGGCUUAACCCCGGAAUUGCGCCUGAAACUACAUGACUAGAGCAUUGGAGAGGGUAGCGGAAUUCACGGUGUAGCAGUGAAAUGCGUAGAUAUCGUGAGGAGCACCAGAGGCGAAGGCGGCUACCUGGACAAUUGCUGACACUCAGGCACGAAAGCGUGGGGAGCAAAAGGG